GCCCUGUCGCGCGGCGCCUCGCUCUCCGUCGGACACUGCGGAGGGGGGGUUCCGGGGUGUCCUCAGUGCCACUAAGGCUUUCCUCCAUUAGGGAACAAGGCCCGCCAUUGUGGCAGCGAGUGCGAUGCUGUCGGAGAUGGAACCCCCAGGAGCUGCUCAGGUGCAACCAGAGUCCGGAACAGAAUGAAAAGGCCAUCUUGGACAUCGGGGUGACCCACCUGAGACAGUUUGUGACACGCCGCUGAUUUCUGUCAGGCAAAUGUCCAGAAGCGAAAUAAAGCGGAAUAAAGAGAGCGCCCACGAAGGGCGUGUGAGAUCUGAGACUCCUCUGCCGCUCCUCAAUGAGUGCAAGUCGGCUAACGAAGGCGCUGAAUGCAGCAGAAACCUCAUCUGCGGGCCAGGCCCUGGGCCUUUCUUCCCCGGCCAUUCUCCACGUCCACAGCUGGCCUCUCCUCCGCCGGGCCUCCGCUGCGAGGAACAAAACCCCCUCUGUGACUCUCUGUCCUCCCUUUCUUCCCCGGAGUAGCUCUCCUUACUGGUGAUUAGCGGGUGAUUAAACCCAAUUCAGCUCCCCCGGCAGAUACCACACAGCCCCUUCCUCCCCCCGACACCCCCUCCGCUCCCUGCUCUAGCGGUUGCCCCUAUUGCUCCCGCACACACACUGACACACCAGCACCCACCCCCCCCCCCACCACUGCUGCCUUUCGGCCCGAGUUUUUGACUGCGCUGCCGGUUCUCAGUGAUCGUGAUCCUAAGCUUAUUAACA